UUAUUUUAUCAUUACAUGUUCCCAAAUUUAACUAUGAAAAUGAUCUUUUUAAAUUCUCAAAUGAUGUUGCGUUUAUUAGAGGAUCAGCUAUGAAUAGUACAAAUUUAAUUUAUUCUGGUUUGUUUUAUGCCAAAAGAAUACUUAUAUUAAAUUCAAAUCAUAGUCUAUUUAUAGAUAAAGACGCAUACAGAACUGAUCACGAAGUUAUUAUUAUUAAAAGUAUUAUCAAUCAGUUAUAUAAAAAUGUAUUUAAAAAUAAAAAAAAUUAUAUUAAUUUAAUGAAAAAAAUGUUUCCAGAAGAGUACCAUAACAAAAAUAUUAAUAAAGAAAUUUUUUCAACAUAUGAAGAAGAUUUGUAUAAUGACAGUAGUCAUGUGGUAACAUUAGAUAAUAAGUAUUGUGUUAAAAGAACAGAGUCAGGUGAAAAAUCGAGUAAACUACUGAUUAGACAAAUAGACAGACCCGCAAUAGAAACAGCACCCGAAACGACGACCUCUUCGAUAUCAGAUUUCCAAUAUGAUUCAUAUUCAGACCCAUCAACAAGUGACAAUAAUUAUAUAUCUAAAAUUAAUGACAAAAACAAAAACAAAAUAAAUAACAUUUUCAAUAUUAAUAAAAACACUUAUAUAAUUUGUUUAAUUAAACACUCAGAAACAUUAGAAUAUAUAGAUGGUAGUAUAAAUUUAUCUUAUGAUAAUUAUAAUGACAAUGAAAAAAUGAAUAAAAUUUGGGAGAACUGUGGUGAAUAUAUUUACACAUUCGAAUUAGUCUCAGCUAAUAUAUUUGUAGAUGAAAUGCUCCAUAACUUAGUUUCUUUUUCUUUACCUAUAAGUAAAUAUGCAAUCGAAUAUUCAGUUAUUUAUUCAUUAAUAGGUAUAGAUAUAAAUAAAUACUCAAAAAAUACUAAAACAUUUUAUACGAAACUGAAACUUACAACUGGGCAUGUUAAAUUAAUACCUAUCCCAUCCUAUUUUUAUAAAAAAAAAUUUUAUAAAUAUUUUUCCUAUAUUAUGCAUAACAAAAAUUAUUUAUGUAUUGGAAUUUUACGAUAUAUAGACAUAUCUCCCUUAUAUGCUAUGUCAAAAAAAAUAUUUAUUUUGUCUUGUCCUUCUCGCACAAUGAGGAUUGAGCCUUAUGACCAGGCUUAUAUAAUUACGUAAAAUGAAAAAUCACAUUUCAUCUUUUCAAUUAAAUUAGAAAAACAAAAAUGUGGUAUAUGAAGAAGAACAAGAGGCAUGUCUUAAAAUUAUAUAAAAAAUGUAUAAAAAAAAAAAAAGUAAAGAAAAGGGCAAACAACGUAUAUAUAUAUAU
rnacentral:lncRNA from 1 species